AGAGUUUGAUCCUGGCUCAGGACGAACGCUGGCGGCGUGCUUAACACAUGCAAGUCGAACGGAAAGGCCCACCACCUUUGGUGGUGGGUACUCGAGUGGCGAACGGGUGAGUAACACGUGGGUGAUCUGCCCCGCACUGUGGGAUAAGCCUGGGAAACUGGGUCUAAUACCACAUACGACCAUGGCGUAGGGGUCAUGGUGGAAAGCUUUUGCGGUGUGGGAUGAGCCCGCGGCCUAUCAGCUUGUUGGUGGGGUAAUGGCCUACCAAGGCGGCGACGGGUAGCCGGCCUGAGAGGGUGGACGGCCACAUUGGGACUGAGACACGGCCCAGACUCCUACGGGAGGCAGCAGUGGGGAAUAUUGCACAAUGGGCGCAAGCCUGAUGCAGCGACGCCGCGUGGGGGAUGAAGGCCUUCGGGUUGUAAACUCCUUUCGCCCGGGACGAAGCCCACCUUGGUGGGUGACGGUACCGUGGAGAAGAAGCACCGGCUAACUACGUGCCAGCAGCCGCGGUAAUACGUAGGGUGCAAGCGUUGUCCGGAUUUACUGGGCGUAAAGAGCUCGUAGGUGGUGUGUCGCGUCGUCUGUGAAAUUCCGGGGCUUAACUCCGGGCGUGCAGGCGAUACGGGCACGACUAGAGUGCUGUAGGGGUAACUGGAAUUCCUGGUGUAGCGGUGAAAUGCGCAGAUAUCAGGAGGAACACCGAUGGCGAAGGCAGGUUACUGGGCAGUUACUGACGCUGAGGAGCGAAAGCAUGGGGAGCGAACAGGAUUAGAUACCCUGGUAGUCCAUGCUGUAAACGGUGGGCGCUAGGUGUGGGCUGUGUGUUUGCAGUCUGUGCCGUAGCUAACGCAUUAAGCGCCCCGCCUGGGGAGUACGGCCGCAAGGCUAAAACUCAAAGGAAUUGACGGGGGC
rnacentral:rRNA from 1 species